UACGUAGGGUGCGAGCGUUGUCCGGAAUUAUUGGGCGUAAAGAGCUCGUAGGCGGUGUGUCACGUCGGCCGUGAAAACCUGCAGCUUAACUGUGGGCGUGCGGUCGAUACGGGCAUCACUGGAGUUCGGCAGGGGAGACUGGAAUUCCUGGUGUAGCGGUGAAAUGCGCAGAUAUCAGGAGGAACACCAAUGGCGAAGGCAGCACUCUGGGACGUGACUGACGCUGAGACGCGAAAGUGUGGGGAGCGAACAGG
rnacentral:rRNA from 1 species